UGGUUGAAUUCGACUUUGGGGC
rnacentral:ncRNA from 2 species